rnacentral:tRNA from 1 species
GGCGUCUAGCGGUCGGCUCCGUCAAAUAUGAUAACUGGCGAACGGGUAACCGUUCCGUGGGUUCGAAUCCCACUCCACCCGCCA